rnacentral:rRNA from 1 species
CCUACGGGUGGCAGCAGUCGAGAAUUAUUCACAAUGGGGGAAACCCUGAUGGUGCGACGCCGCGUGGGGGAAUGAAGGUCUUCGGAUUGUAAACCCCUGUCAUGUGGGAGCAAAUUAAAAAGAUAGUACCACAAGAGGAAGAGACGGCUAACUCUGUGCCAGCAGCCGCGGUAAUACAGAGGUCUCAAGCGUUGUUCGGAAUCACUGGGCGUAAAGCGUGCGUAGGCUGUUUCGUAAGUCGUGUGUGAAAGGGGCGGGCUCAACCCGCGGACGGCACAUGAUACUGCGAGACUAGAGUAAUGGAGGGGGAACCGGAAUUCUCGGUGUAGCAGUGAAAUGCGUAGAUAUCGAGAGGAACACUCGUGGCGAAGGCGGGUUACUGGACAUUAACUGACGCUGAGGCACGAAGGCCAGGGGAGCGAAAGGGAUUAGAUACCCUUGUAGUC